AGCUGGAGUUUCCCUCACAUGUCUCUCUGUAAACACGCUCUGCCCUGUGCGUGACUUUACACAGCUGCUCUGUGUGUGUGUGUGCGUGUGCAGCCACCAGCGCACGGAGCCGUGCCGCACCCCCGGCUGCAGCGGUGACCCGCCGUCUUUCUCUCGCGCACGGGAGGCGCAGGGAAGUGCGGGGCCUGGUGCGGCGGCGCUGUCUGAGCCCCAUGGCGCAGCUCCCACUGGCGGCGGCGGGCCCGGCCGGAGGCGGCGGGCUCGGGCUCCAGGCGGUCACGGCCCCGGAUCCCCGGCCUGCGCGGAGAGGGCGACCAAUGGCGGGAGGGCAUAAAGGGACCGCAUCCGCGGCGGGGGCUGGCCCGUGGCUUCUUGCAGUGGUGCAUUGUGGGGUAGUGGAGGACCCGCGUUGCGGAUGGAGGGGGAGUCGAGCCGUGGGGCUGUCAUGGCGACUAACAUCGAGCAGAUCUUUCGGUCCUUUGUGGUCAGCAAGUUCCGGGAGAUCCAGGAGGAGCAGGAGCAGCAGCAGCAGCUGGGCGGGUGUAGAGGAAGAUUCAGUGAAAAAUAGCUCUCCCUGUACAAAAAGAGGCCCCACUGACGAAGUAGAAGAUGAAAUUCCAAGAAAAAAGUCAAAAAAGAACAAAAAACACAAAAGCAAGAAGAAGAAGAAGAAAAAGAAGAAGAAAAGGAAGAAAGAAAAAAAACAUAAAAAGCAUCCAAAGGAAUCAAAAUUAAGUGCACAGUAUGGAGAGCAUGCAGAUUUACAACCUGCUUCUCACUCAAAGACAGAAAAAUUGGGCUCAAAGUUGAUCACACGGCAUGGAGGACAUGCAGAUUCAGAUCUUGCUGGUCAAAUGCAGCCAGAAGAAUUGGGCACAAAAUUGAGUGCAGAGUACAUGGGACAUUCAAUUAAAAGACUCACACCUCAUUUGCUAUCAGAUUCUGAAUCAUCUGUGGAAAAACUUGGGAGUGAAAAAACAAACUUGGCCUUGGCUGAUACACACAGUACAUUCAAUUCAGAAACCAGCAAAUUGGAUACCCAGGAAGAAAAUACUAGUACAAUGAAAAUUCAAGAGCAAGCUAAUGUAAAAUUAUUGGUGAAUAAGACUCAUGAAAGUAUAUAUCAUAUAGCUUUUAAUAUGAAUGCAAAGGAUGAACCUUUACCAGUUAAAGACACUGAAAAUGGUACUGUGUCUACCAACAGAACUGGAGUUGCUGGUAAAUCUGAAAUUGAAAAGGAUUUGGAAGCUACUCCAGCCUCUGAAAUAACUGAAGAACUAAAAGAUUCAGAAGCUACUCUGGAAUCGAUGGGCAUGGUGGAGGUGAAAGAAUUAGAAACAACCUUAGAAUCUGAGACCAUGGCAAAGAUUAAAUGUUCAGAAGCAAUUCUAAAAUCUCUGACUAUGACUUCAGAGGGUUUGGAUGCCCCUCUAGAAUCUGUAGCCAUAGCGGAGCUGAAAGCAACUGGAGAAUCUGUGGCUGUGACAAAUGAUUUGGUAGUAAUGCCAACAUCUGUAGUUGUAAUGGAGAUGAAAGCUUUGGAAGAAACUGCAGGAUCUGUUGUCAUGACAGAUAUGAAAGGUUUGGAAACAACUCUAGAAACUGUGGGUGUGGCUGAGGCAAAAAGUUUGGAAGGAGGUCUAGAAUUUGUGACUGUGCCAGAUGAUUUGGUAGUGACUUCAAAAUCUGUGGCCGAGGCAGAGGUGAAUGAUUUGGAAGCAACUCCAAAAUCUGCGUCUAUGGUGGAGGUGAAAGGUUCAGAAGCUGCCCUAGAACCUGUGGCCAUGCAGGAGGCAAAAGAUUUGGAAAGAACCCUAGAAUCUGUCGCCCUGGGAAAAGGUUCACAAACAACCCUAGAACCUGUUGGGAAUGCGAAAGAUUUGGAAGCAGCUCUAAAACUUGUGGUGGAGAUGAAAGAUUUGGAAGUAACUCCAGAAUCUCUGCACAUGGAGGAGGUGAAAGGUGCAGAAGGAGCCCUAGAAUCUGUGGCUAUGGCAAUAGAUUUGGAAGGAACCCUCAAACUUGCUCCUGUGGCAGAGGCAAAAGAUUCAGAUGCAGCAUCACUGUCUCCGCAAACGGAAGAUAUGAAAGAUUCAAAAGGAUUCCUAGAAUCUGUGGCCAUGACAAAAGGUCCAGAAACAAUCCUAGACCCCGUAGGGGUGGCAGAAGGUCUAGAAACAAUCCUAGAACCUGCAGAGGUGGCAGAGGAGAAAGAUUUGGAAGGAAUUCCAGAAUCUCUGCACAUACAGGAUAUGGAAGAUUUGGAAGCAUCCUUAGAACCUGUAGUCAUGAAAACAGGUCUGGAAGUGGCUCUAGAACAUGUGGCUGUGGUGAAAGGUGUAGAAGCAACUCCACUUUCUAUGCAAAUGGAAGAAGUGAAAGAUUUGGAAGGAGCCCUAGUAGAAUCUGUGGCAGUGACAAAAGGUUCAGAAGCAGCCCUAGAACAUGUCGUCUUGGCAGAGAAGAAAAGUAUGGAACCAACUUCACUAUCUCUGCAAAUGGAAGAUGUGAAAGAUUCAGAAGGAGCCCUAGAAUCUAUUGUCAUGGAAGAAGGCUCAGAAGCAACCCAGGGACCAGUGACAGAGGCAAAAGACUUGGAAGCAAUCCUAGAAUCUGUUUCGGAGGUGAGAGGUUCAGAACCAGCACCACUGUCUCUGCAGAUGGAAGAUGUGAAAGGUUCAGAAGGAGGUGUAAAAUCUUUGGCCAUGGCAAAAGGUUCAAAACCAACCCUGAAAGCUGUGGCUGUGGGGGAGGGAAGAGGUUCAGAAGCAACUCUGCUGUCUCUGGAAAUGGAGAAUGUGAAAGAUGAUGAGGAAGCCUUAGAAUCUGUGGCCCGGGCAAUAGAUUCAGAACCAACCCUAGAACCUGUGGCCAUUGUAGAGGCUAAAGGUCUGGAAGCAGUUUUGUCUCUGCAAAUGGAGAACGUGAAAGAUUCAGAAGGAGCCCUGGAAUCUGUGGCCAUGGCAAAAGAUUUAGAGGCACCUCCAGAACCUGUGGCAGAGGUGAAAGAUUCGGAAGCAAUGCUUCAGUCUCUGCAAAUGGAAGAUGUGAAAGAAUUAGAAGGAACCCUAGAAUCUGUUGUGGUGACAAAAAGUUUGGAAGCAACCCUAGGGCCUGUGGUGGAGGAGAGAGGUGCAGAAACACCUCCACUAUCUCUGCAAAUAGAAGAUUUGACAGAAUCAGAAGGAGUUCUAGAAUCGAUGUCUGUGGUGAAGUUGAAGGCUUUGGAAGCAGCCUUUGAGUCGGUAGUCAUGGUAGAGGUGAAGGAUUUAAAGAAACCUGUACAAGCUGAGUCUGAGGUCACAGCUCAGUUUAAAGAUUUGGAAACAAUUCCCAAAUUUCUGUGCAUGGAGGGAGAUUUGGUAAUAACUCCAGAAUCUGAGACAACAUCAGAAGUGAAAAAUUUGGAAAUAAUUGGACAAUCCGAAUCGCUGGCAGAAGUGAAAGAUUUGGAAACCACCUUAGAAUCUGAGGCAGUGGCAGAGUCAAAGGAUUCAGAAACAACUACAGAAUCUCAGGUGGUGAUGGAAGUGAAAGAUUUGAAAACCAUUCCACGAUCCCAAGUCAUGACAGAAGUGAGUGACUUGAAAAUAUCUCCACGUACUGAGGUGAUAAAAGGUUUUGAAACAGCUACAAAGUCUGAUGCCACUGUAAUGGAGGUGGAAGAUUCUGAAUCAACUCUGGAAUCUAGGUCAGUAAUAGAGGUGAAAGAUCCGGAAGCGACACCGGAAUCUGAGGCAAUAACAGGCAUAAAAUAUUCUAAAAAAAUUCUAAAAUCUGAGGCCACCUCAGAGUUGAAACAUUCAGAAGCUAGUCCAGAAUCUUUACAUUCGACAGACUUGAAAGAUUCUGGAAAAACUCCAGAACCUGAGGUGAUUCUGCAAAUGAAAGAUUCAAAAACAACUAAAAAAUCUGAGCCCAUUGCUCUGGUGAAAGAUUCUGAAGCUAGUAGAGAAUUGCUACAUAUAGUGGUAAAAGAUUUGCAAUCAACUCCAGAAUCUGAGACUGUGGCAGUCGUGAAAGAUUUGAAGGAAACUCUAGAGUGUGAGAUGGUGGUGGCAAAAGAUUUGGAAACAACCCUAAAAUCUGAAGCAAUCAUGGAUGUAAAGCAUUCUAAAGCUGCUCCAGAAUCUUUGUAUAAAGCAAAGGUAAAGGAUUCAGAAGCAGUUCCAGAAUCUCUCUACUCAUCAAAGGUGAAAGUUGCUGAAUUAGCUCUAGAAUUGGAGGCAGCAGCAAAGGUGAAGGAUUUGAAAGAAAGCCUAGAAUCUAAGGUCAUUGUAGAUGUGAAAGAUUUGGAAGCUGCUUCAGAAUCUGUGAUCAGGAUGAAGGUAAAAGAUUUGGAAGAAAUUCCAGAACAUUGGCAGCCAGUGGAUGUGAAAGUUUUGGAAGCAUCUCCGGAAUCUGAGAAAACAAUGGAAGUAAAAUAUUCAGAAGCAACUCCAGAAACUCAGAUGUUGACAGAGACGAAAGAUUUGGAAGAAACUCUGGAAUCUCUGUACACUGCAGAGGUGGAGGAGUUGGAAAAAAUUACAGAAUCUAUGCCAAUGGUAGAGGUGAAAGAAUCUGAGGCUGUGAUGGAUCUGAAAUUCUCAGCAACAACUCUAAAAUCUGAGAAAACAGUGGAGGUGAAAAUUUUGGAAGAUACUCCAGAAUCUUUGACAGUGGAAAAGAUAAAAAAUUCAAAAGCGUGUCUCGAAUUUCUGCACUCUGAGGAAAUGAAAGAUUUGGAAGCAGAUGUAGAAGCUGAGGCUUCAACGGCUCUGAAGGAUAUGGAAGAAACUUUAGGCACUGCACAGGUGAAAUAUUCAGAAGCAGUUUUGAAAUCUGUGGGCAUAGCAGAGAGAAAACAUUUGGGAACAACUGUAGAAAAUCGUAAUGCAGUGCUAGAUUUGGAACCGGUUUCAGAAUCUCAGCACGCUGUGGAUCUGAAAUUUCCAGAAACUCCUCAGAUUCCUGAGUUAAAAGUGGAGGUGAAAGAUUCUGAAGCAGCUCUAGAAUCUGAGACUAUUACAGAGGUAAAUGACUUGCAAGCUACUCCAGAGUCUGUGGCCACGGUGGAGGUGAAAAAUUUGAAAGCAGUUCCAGAUUCUCUUCACACAGUACACAUGAAUAAUUUGGAAGCAACUCCAGAAUUGGUGGCAGCUGCAGAGAUGAAAGAUUUGGAAGCAGUUCCUGAAUCUGUGGUGGUGCUGGCAGAGGUGAAAGAUUUGGAAGUAGUUUCAGAUUCUCUGCAUACUGUAAGUGUGAAAGAUUUGGAAGCAGCUCCAGAAUCUGUGGUGGCAGUAGCAGAGGUGAAGGAUUUACAAGCAGCUCCAGAAUUGGCAGCAGUGGUGAAAGAUUUGGAAGCAGCUCCAGAAUAUGUGGUGAUGCUGGCAGAGGUGAAAGAUUCAGAAGUAGUUCCAGCUUCUCUGCAUACCGUAGAUGUGAAAGAUUUUGAAACAACUCCAGAAUCUGUGGUAGUGGCUGAAGAGGUGAAAGAUUUGGAAGCAGCUCCAGAAUCUGUUGUGACAGCAGCAAAAUUUAAAUACUCAGAAACAACUCCAGAAUCUGUGGUGGUGACUGCAGAAAUGAAAGAUUUGGAAGCAGCUCUGAAAUCUGUGGUGGUGGCAGAGGUGAAGGAUUUGAGAGCAGCUCCAGAAUCUUUGGCAGCAGAGGUGACAGAUUUGGAAGCAGUGCUAGAUAUUCUGCAUCCUGUAGAUGUGAAAGAUUCUGAAACAGCUCCAGAAUCUGUGGUGGUGGCUGAAGAGGUCAAAGAUUUGGAAGCAGUGCCAGAUGUUCUGCAUACUGUAGAUGUGAAAGAUUCUGAAACAAGUACAGAAUCUCUGCUGGUGUCUUCAGAGGUGAAAGAUUCAGAAACUGCUCCAGAAUCUGUUGUGACAAUGGCAGAAUUGAAAUAUUCAGAAACAAGUCCAGAAUCUGUGGUGGCUACUGCAGAAGUGAAAGAUUUAGAAGCAGUUCCGGAAUCUGUGGCAGAGAUGAAGGAUUUGGAGUCUGCUCCAGAUGCUAUGGUGGUGGUGGCAGAGGUGAAAGAUUUGAAAGCAUCUCCAGAAUCUUUGGCAGCGGUGGCAGCAGAAGUGACAGAUUUGGAAGCAGCUCCAGAUUUUCUGUGUAUUGUAGAUGUGAAAGAUACUGGAACAACUACAGAAUCUGUGAUAGCGGCUGAAGAGGUGACAGAUUUGGAAGCAGCUCCAGAUUUUCUGUGUAUUGUAGAUGUGAAAGAUACUGGAACAACUACAGAAUCUGUGAUAGCGGCUGAAGAGGUGACAGAUUUGGAAGCAGCUCCAGAUUUUCUGUGUAUUGUAGAUGUGAAAGAUACUGGAACAACUACAGAAUCUGUGAUAGCGGCUGAAGAGGUGACAGAUUUGGAAGCAGCUCCAGAUUUCCUGUGUACUGUAGAUGUGAAAGAUUCUGAAAGAACUCCACAAUCUGUGGUAGUGGCUGCAGAGAUGAAGGAUUCUGUAACAGUUCCAGAAUCGGUGGCAGAGGUAAAAUACUCAGAAACAAGUCCGGAAUUUGUGGUAGUGGCAGCAGAGGUGAAAGAUUUGAAAGCAGCACCAGAAUCUGUGGUGACAGUGACAGAGGUGAAAGAUUUGCAAGCUGUUCCGGUUUCUCUGGUGUCGGUGGCAGAUGUAGAAGAUUCAGAAGGAGCUAGUGAGUCUCUGCAUGCUGUAGAUAUGAAUGAUUCAGAAGCAGCUCCAAAAUCUGUGGGGUUGGCUGCAGAGAUGAAAGAUUUGGAAGAAGCUCCAGAAUCUGUGGUGGCCAUGGCAGAGGUGAAAAAUAUGGAAGCACCUCUAGAUUCUUGGUAUACAGCAUAUGUUAAAGAUUCAGAAACAACUCGGGAAUCUGUGGCAGUGACAGCAGAUGUGAAUGAUUUGGAAGCAACUCCAGCAUUUAGGGCGGUGGCGGCAGAGGCGAAAGAUUCAGAAGCAGCUUCGGAAUCUGUGGUGAUAGCGGCAGAGGGGAAGGAUUUGCAAGCUGCUCCAGAUUCUCUGGUGGUGAUGGCAGAGGUAGAAGAUUCAGAAGCAGCGAGUGUUUCUCUGCAUACUUUAGAUGUGAAUGAUUUAGAAGCAGUUCGAGAAUCCGUGGAGGCUACGGCAGAGGUGAAGAAUUUGGAGGCAGCUCCAGAUUCUCUGUAUACAGUGUACGUUAAAGAUUCAGAAACAACUCAAGAAUUUGUGGCAGUGAGAGCAGAGGUGAAUGAUUUGGGAGCACCUCCAGAAUUGGUGGCGGCUGUGGCAGCGGCGAAAGAUUUGGCAGCACCUCCAGAAUUGGUGGCGGCUGUGGCAGCGGCGAAAGAUUUGGCAGCACCUCCAGAAUUGGUGGCGGCUGUGGCAGCGGCGAAAGAUUUGGCAGCACCUCCAGAAUUGGUGGCGGCUGUGGCAGAGGCAAAAGAUUCCAGAGUGGCUCCAGGAUCUGUGGCUGUAGUGAAGGAGAAUGAUGAAGAUCUUUUUAAAAAAAAGAAAGCAUAUGAAAAAAGUAACAAGAGUGGUGAUAAACAUAAACAAGAUGCAAAGAAAUUAAAAAGGAGUAAAUCUAAAUCUCUUUCACGAUCCAGGAAGCGGAAAAAGAAGUCCAGGUCACGUUCUGUCUCUAAACAUUUGAAAUGUAAAAGAGCAAGGUCUAGGAGCAGAAACUACUCAGAUUCCAGAAAGAAACAUUCCACCUCUUAUGACAAGUCUAGAUCCAGAUCUGUUGAAAAAGGAAGGGGCAAAGAGUCUUCCUGGAGGUCCAGACGCAGGCGCUCCAGGUCCUCGGAUGGUCUCAAGUCAAGAUCCAGAUCCAUUGAUAAAAGGGAAGGCAAAGACUCUUCCUGGAGGUCCAGACGUAGGCGCUCCAGGUCCUCUGAUCAUCUCAAGUCUAAAUCCAGAUCUGUUGAAAAAAGAGAGGGCAAAGAUUCUUCACGGAGGUCUAGACGCAGACGCUCUAAGUCAUCUGAUCGUUUCAAGUCUAGAUCCCGAUCUGUUGAAAAAAGAGAGCGCAAAGAUUCUUCACGGCGGUCUAGACGCAGACACUCCAAGUCCUUGGAUCGUCUCAAGUCUAGAUCCAGAUCCAGGUCUGUUGAAAAAAAAGGGCACAAAGACUCUUCAUGGAGGUCCAGACGCAGACGCUCCAAGUCCUCUGAUCGUCUCAAAUCUAGAUCCAGAUCUGUUGAAAAAAGAGAGCGCAAAGACUCUUCACGGAGGUCUAGACGCAGACGCUCCAAGUCCUCUGAUCGUCUCAAGUCCAGAUCCAGAUCCAGAUCUUUUGAAAAAAGGGGUGGCAAAGAAUCUUCCUGGAGAUCCAGACGCAGACGCUCCAAGUCCUCUGAUCGUUUCAAGUCCAGAUCCAGGUCUUUUGAAAAAAGAGGUGGCAAAGAAUCUUCCUGGAGGUCCAGACGCAGACGUUCCAAGUCCUCUGAUCGUCUCAAAUCAAAAUCCAGAUCCAGAUCUUUUGAAAAAAGGAGUGGCAAAGCAUCUUCCUGGAGGUCUAGACGCAGACGCUCUAAGUCUUCUGAUCGUCUCAAAUCAAAAUCCAGAUCCAGAUCUGUUGAAAAAAGAAGUAGCAAAGGGUCUUCCUGGAGGUCCAGACGCAGACGCUCCAAAUCCUCUGAUCGUCUCAAGUCAAGAUCGAGAUCUGUUGAAAAAAGAGGGGGCAGGGACUCUUCAUGGAGGUCUAAACGUAGACGCUCCAAGUCCUCGGAUCGUCUCAAAUCUAGAUCGAGAUCUGUUGAGAAAAGAGGCGGCAGAGACUCUUCACGGAGGUCUAAACGUAGACGCUCCAAAUCCACUGAUCAUCACAAGUCUAGAUCCAAAUCUGUUGAAAAAAUAGGUAGUAAAGAGUCUUCACGGAGGUCUAAACGUAGACGUUCCAAGUCCUCUGAUCGUCUCAAAUCUAGAUCCAAAUCUAUUGAAAAACUGGGAAGCAAAGAGUCUUCAUGGAGGUCCAGACGCAGAUGCUCGAAAUCCUUUGAUGAUCUAAAGUCUAGAUCUAGAUCCAAAUCUGUAGAAAAAGGAGAGAGUAAGGAAUCUUCAAGGAGAUCUAGAAGUAAACGCUCCAAGUCCUUUGAACGUCACAAAUUGAGAUCCAAAUCUGUUGAAAGAAUAGAGGUACAGGAACCUUCGCAGAGGUCUCGAAGUACUUGCUCCAAGUCUUCUGAGCAUCACAAGUCCAGAUCCAAAUCUGUUGAAGAAAUAGAGGCUCAGGAGCCUUCACAGAGGUCUCGAAGUAGCCGCUCGAAGUCUUUUGAACGUCACACAUCUGGAUCCAAAUCUGUCGAAGAAAUAGAGGGAAAAGAAUCUUCACCGAGGUCUCGAAGUAGCCGCUCCAAGUCUUCUGAACGUAACAAAUCCAGAUCCAAAUCUGUUGAAGAAGUAGAGGCUCAGGAGCCUUCACAGAGGUCUCGAAGUAGCCGCUCGAAGUCCUUUGAACGUCACACAUCUGGAUCCAAAUCUGUCGAAGAAAUAGAGGGAAAAGAAUCUUCACCGAGGUCUCGAAGUAGCCGCUCCAAGUCUUCUGAACGUAACAAAUCUAGAUCCAAAUCUGUUGAAGAAAUAGAGGCUCAGGAGCCUUCACAGAGGUCUCGAAGUAGCCGCUCCAAGUCCUUGGAACAUCACAUGUCUAGAUCCAAAUCAGUUGAAGAAAUAGAGGGCAAAGAAUUUUCACAGAGGUCUCGAAGUAGCCACUCCAAGUCUUCUGAACGACGCAAGUCCAGAUCCAAAUCUGUUGAACAAAUGGAGGUGCGGAAGCCUUCAGGGAUGUCUCGAAGUAGCCGUUCCAAGUCUUCUGAACAUCUCCACUGCAGAUCCAAAUCUGUUGCAGGAAUAGAGGUGCAGAAGCUUUCACAAAGGUUUCGAAGUAGCCUCUCCAAGUCUUCUGAAUGUGUCACGUCUGAAUCCAAAUCUGUUCAAGAAAUAGAGGCUCAGGAGCCUGCAGAGAGGUCUCGAAGCAGCUGCUCCAAGUCUCCUGAACUUCAAAAGUCUAGAUCCAAAUCUGUUGAAAAAAUAGAGGGCAAAGAUUCUUCACAGAGGUCUCGAAGUAGCCGCUCCAGAUCUUCUGAACGUCACAGGUCUAGAUCCAAAUCUGUUGAAAAAAUAGAGGGCAAAGAUUCUUCACAGAGGUCUCGAAGUAGCCGCUCCAGGUCUUCUGAACGUCACAGGUCUAGAUCCAAAUCUGUUGAAAAAAUAGAGGGAAAAGAUUUUUCACAGAGAUCUCGAAGUAGCCGCUCCAGGUCUUCUGAACGUCCCACAUCUAGAUCCAAAUCUGUUGAAGAAAGGGAGGUUCAGGAGCCUUCACAGAGGUCUCGAAGUAGCCGCUCCAGAUCUUCUGAACGUCACACAUCUAGAUCCAAAUCUGUUGAGGAAAUAGAGGUUGAGGAGCCUUCAGAGGGGUCUCGAAGUAGCCGCUCCAAGUCUUCUGAACGUCACACGUCUGGAUCCAAAUCUGUUGAGGAAAUAGAGGUUGAGGAGCCUUCACAGAGGUCUCAAAGUAGCCGCUCCAGAUCUUCUGAACGUCAUACGUCUGGAUCCAAAUCUGUUGAAGAAAUGGAGGUUCAGGAGCCUUCACAGAGGUCUCGAAGUAGCCGCUCCAGAUCUUCUGAACGUCAUACGUCUAGAUCCAAAUCUGUUGAAAAAAUAGAGGGAAAAGAUUCUUCACAGAGAUCUCGAAGUAGCCGCUCCAAAUCUUCUGAACGUCACAAAUCUAGAUCCAAUUCUGUUGAAGAAAUAGAGGUUGAGGAGCCUUCACAGAGGUCUCAAAGUAGCCGCUCCAAGUCUUCUGAAAGUCACAAGUCCAGAUCCAAAUCUGUUGAGGAAAUAGAGGUUGAGGAGCCUUCACAGAGGUCUCGAAGGAGCCGCUCCAGAUCUUCUGAACGUCACACGUCUAGAUCCAAAUCUGUUGAAAAAAUAGAGGGAAAAGAUUCUUCACAGAGAUCUCGAAGUAGCCGCUCCAAGUCUUCUGAACGUCACAAAUCUAGAUCCAAAUCUGUUGAGGAAAUAGAGGUUGAGGAGCCUUCACAGAGGUCUCGAAGGAGCCGCUCCAAGUCUUCUGAAAGUCACAAGUCCAGAUCCAAAUCUGUUGAGGAAAUAGAGGUUGAGGAGCCUUCAAAGAGGUCUCGAAGGAGCCGCUCCAAGUCUUCUGAACGUCACACGUCUAGAUCCAAAUCUGUUGAAAAAAUAGAGGGAAAAGAUUCUUCACAGAGAUCUCGAAGUAGCCGCUCCAAGUCUUCUGAACGUCACAAAUCUAGAUCCAAUUCUGUUGAAGAAAUAGAGGUUGAGGAGCCUUCACAGAGGUCUCGAAGGAGCCGCUCCAAGUCUUCUGAAAGUCACAAGUCCAGAUCCAAAUCUGUUGAGGAAAUAGAGGUUGAGGAGCCUUCACAGAGGUCUCGAAGGAGCCGCUCCAAGUCUUCUGAACGUCACACGUCUAGAUCCAAAUCUGUUGAAAAAAUAGAGGGAAAAGAUUCUUCACAGAGAUCUCGAAGUAGCCGCUCCAAGUCUUCUGAACGUCACAAAUCUAGAUCCAAUUCUGUUGAAGAAAUAGAGGUUGAGGAGCCUUCACAGAGGUCUCGAAGGAGCCGCUCCAAGUCUUCUGAAAGUCACAAGUCCAGAUCCAAAUCUGUUGAGGAAAUGGCGGUUGAGGAGCCUUCACAGAGGUCUCGAAGGAGCCGCUCCAGAUCUUCUGAACGUCACACGUCUAGAUCCAAAUGUGUUGAAAAAAUAGAGGGAAAAGAUUCUUCACAGAGAUCUCGAAGUAGCCGCUCCAAGUCUUCUGAACGUCACAAGUCCAGAUCCAAAUCUGUUGAAGAAAUGGCGGUUGAGGAGCCUUCACAGAGGUCUCGAAGGAGCCGCUCCAGAUCUUCUGAACGUCACACGUCUAGAUCCAAAUGUGUUGAAAAAAUAGAGGGAAAAGAUUCUUCACAGAGAUCUCGAAGUAGCCGCUCCAAGUCUUCUGAACGUCACAAGUCCAGAUCCAAAUCUGUUGAAGAAAUGGCGGUUGAGGAGCCUUCACAGAGGUCUCGAAGGAGCCGCUCCAAGUCUUCUGAACGUCACACAUCUAGAUCCGAAUCUGUUGAGGAAAUAGAGGUUGAGGAGCCUUCACAGAGGUCUCGAAGGAGCCGCUCCAAGUCUUCUGAACGUCACAAGUCCAGAUCCAAAUCUGUUGAAGAAAUGGAGGUUCAGGAGCCUUCACAGAGGUCUCGAAGUAGCCGCUCCAAGUCUUCUGAACGUCACGAGUCCAGAUCCAAAUCUUCUGAAGAAAUAGAGAUUCAGGAGCCUUCACAAAGGAGUAGCCGCUCCAAGUCUCCUGAACUUCAACACACUAGAUCCAAAUCUGUUGAAGACAUUGAGGGCAAAGAUACUUCACAGAAGUCUCGGAGUAGCCGCUCCAAGUCUCCUGAACUUCAACACUCUAGGUCCAAAUCUGUUGAAAAACUUGAGGGCAAAGAUUCUUCACAGAAGUCUCGGAGUAGCCGCUCCAAGUCUCCUGAACUUCAAAAGUCUAGAUCCAAAUCUGUUGAAGACAUUGAGGGCAAAGAUUCUUCUCUGAGGUCUCGGAGUAGCCGCUCCAAGUCUCCUGAACUUCAAAAGUCUAGAUCCAAAUCUGUUGAAAAAAUUGAGGGCAAAGAUUCUUCACAGAAGUCUCGGAGUAGCCGCUCCAAGUCUCCUGAACUUCAAAAGUCUAGAUCCAAAUCUGUUGAAAAAAUUGAGGGCAAAGAUUCUUCACAGAAGUCUCGGAGUAGCCGCUCCAAGUCUCCUGAACUUCUAAAGUCUAGAUCCAAAUCUGUUGAAAAAAUAAAGGGCAAAGGUUCUUCACAGAGGUCUCGGAGUAGCCGCUCCAAGUCUCCUGAACUUCAAAAGUCUAGAUCGAAAUCUGUUGAAAAAAUAAAGGGCAAAGUGUCUUCACAAAGGUCUAGAAGAAAACGCUCCAAGUCUUCUGAACGUCACAAAUCUAGAUCCAAAUCAGUUGAAAAAGUAGAGAGCAAAGAGUCUUCACAGAGGUCUAGAAGUAAGCGCUCUAAAUCCUCUGAGCGCAAAUCGCAAAAACAUGAUAGCGAAUUGCGUUCUAGACGAAAUCGGUCUCGGUCGGUAACACGUAAAAGACUCUCAAAAUCUAAAUCUAAUCAUCGGUCUCGGACACGCUCCCUGUCACGUUCAAGACAUAGGAGGAGGACUCGGUCAAGAUCAGUGUCAAAAAGGAGACGGUCUUUAUCAAGAGAGAGACACAAAAGAUCUCAAAGGAACAGAUCAAGAUCUGCUGAUCGACGAAGAAGGAGAUCAAACUCAAGGGAUCACCGAAUAGUGCUCAGGUUACGGACCAGAAGUCGAACACCUAUUCGACGAAAACGGUCUAGGUCAGUGGGAAGAAGACGAAGCUCUAGCAAAUCACCAGUUCGACUAAGGAGAUCAAGAUCACCUGGGAGAAGAAGAUGCUAUAGCAGAUCACCUGAUCGUCAAAGAAGGUCCAGGUCAUCCGAUAAGUUUUCAAGCAGAUCACCUAAACGUCUUACAGACUUAGACAAGGCCCAGCUACUUGAAAUAGCCAAAGCUAAUGCAGCUGCCAUGUGUGCUAAGGCUGGUGUCCCCUUACCACCAAGCCUACUGCCUAUUAUAGCUCCAGCAAAGAAGGAGGAGAAAGUUACUCAGAAGUCAGCAAGAGAUACAAUAAAGGAGCUCACUGAGAAAUGCAAGAAGAUUGCACAAAGCACAGAUGACGUGAUCGUGAACAAGCCUCAUGAUUCUGAUGAAGAGGAGGAAGAACGCCCUUUCUAUAAUCAUCCUUUUAAACUCAAUGAACCCAAACCCAUUUUUUUCAACUUAAAUACCACUCCUAUCGUAAAACCAGCACCAAAAAAUCAGGUAACUUUGACAAAGGAGUUCCCUGUCUCAUCUGGGUCUCAACACAGGAAAAAGGAAGCUGACAGUGUCUAUGGAGAAUGGGUUCCAGUUGAGAAAAGCAAAGAAGAAAGCAAAGAUGAUGUUUUCCCCAAACCAGCUCUUGCACAGACUGUGGACAUCUCUACGGCAAUGAAUGAACGAACAAUGGCUCAGAAGAGGCUUACAGAAAAUACAUUUGACUUAGAGGCCAUGUGCUUGUUAAAUCGUGCACAGGAACAGAUUGAUGCCUGGGCGCAGUCAAACUCUCUGCCGGGCCAAUUCACAGGAAGUACUGGAGCACAGAUUUUGUCCUCAGAUGAGUUGUCCAACAGUGGUCCCCAAGCCUGGAUUAGAAAGGAUCAGUUCUUAAGAGCAGCCCCUGUAACUGGAGGAAUGGGAGCCCAGCUGAUGAGAAAAAUGGGCUGGAGAGAAGGAGAGGGGUUAGGAAAAAACAGAGAAGGAACUGUGGAGCCUAUCCUAGUGGAUUUUAAGACCGAUCGAAAAGGCCUUGUUGCAGUGGGAGAAAAGACACAAAAGAGAUCGGGACAUUUUAGUGUAAUGAAGGAUCUUUCAGGUAAACAUCCAGUUUCUGCAUUGAUGGAGAUAUGUAAUAAAAGAAGAUGGUCACCACCUGUAUUCGUAUUGGUGGAUGAUAGUGGGCCUGAUCAUCGCAAACAUUUUAUCUUUAAGGUGAUGGUCAAUGGGCAUGAAUACAGGCCUAGCUUUCCCAGCCUUAAUAAGAAGCAUGCUAAAGCCACAGCAGCAACUGCGGCUCUCCAAGCGAUGGGACUUGUACCAAAGGACAGCAUGCCCAAUGCCACCAUCUUCAGGAGUGCCUCACACCGCUAGAUAUUGUUUUUUAUAUUGACAUUAUUUCAGAUAAUUUUAUUCUGCACAAGAAAGGUAUUUCCCCGUUUCAUGUUGUAAAUAAAUUGGUGAUUCCCACGUUGUAAAAACUGUACAGACACCUUCAAGAUUUUCUUUUGUACCAUCAAAAAUGUAUUUAAAUCAUACUUAGUUUUUGGUAUGUUUAUAUUGUUUACAUUAGUGAUGUAAUUAUUUCUUAAAUGACUAAAUUCAACAGGCAGACUCUGGCGGGCAUCGGUAAUCUAAACCCUUGUUUUAAAACUCAUGCAAUUUCUCUUUGAAACUCAUGCAAGUUCUCUUCAAUAUGGAAUGUUAACCCUUUCAUACCCUUUUGUACUAUCAUGCAGUUUUCCCUGGUCUUGGUAAAGCUACUGUUGUAGUACUUUUGCCUAUAGCCAGUACAAGGCUGCGCAGCUUAUCGUAGUCUAGAAAAAGGCUGGUAUGUACUGCUGGACAGAUACUGGGCCAGUAAUGUUACCCCUCCAAGAAGGUAGGUAAAUUGUGGCACUGUUGUACAAUGCUAACAUUACCACUUCUCUCUGUCUUGUUUGGGGUUUAAGUCAAUGGUGUACUGCAACUGGCCAUAUUGCUUACUUUUUAAGACUAAAAAGAAAAGGCAAAUGACCUGGCUUAAAUGAGAGGGAAGAAAGUCCAGCGAUGAAAUUGAUGAGAAUUGCAGUGUAAAAGUCUCUCUCCCCUGCAUGUUCUGCUUGUAUCCUGUCAACUGCACACACCUCCACAAAUUCACAGGGACAAAAUGGAGCUCCUCUUAUGCAUCAAGCUGUCCUUUGGUCUGAGGGGAAGGAGCUUUGCUCUAGGAGCCAGAAGAUGAAUUCUAGUCCCAUUUCUUCCAUGGAUUAAUGUCAAUUCUCUAUCCUUUGCACCUUUUUAUUGAACAAAAUACCAAUGUCCCAUGUCAUAGAGUGACUGAAGGCUAGAAGUGUAGUAUAAAGUCACCUUUGUCAAAGCUGGGAAUAGAACCUAGCUGUCUAAUAUGGCAGAUGAGUUCCAUCCAUGCUUGUCUGUCGGCAAAAUACAUAAAAAUGUGUGCUUUGCUAGGCUAUUUGUGAAUUGGGACUGUUCCUCCGUAACCACCUGUACAAAGUGCUUUGACAAAGAGCUGAAUAAAUACUAUAAAGGUAAAGCACUGCUUAAAAAUAAAGUAGCAUGCACGAGUCCCAA